rnacentral:rRNA from 1 species
UACGGAGGGAGCUAGCGUUGUUCGGAAUUACUGGGCGUAAAGCGCACGUAGGCGGCUUUGUAAGUUAGAGGUGAAAGCCCGGGGCUCAACUCCGGAACUGCCUUUAAGACUGCAUCGCUUGAAUCCAGGAGAGGUGAGUGGAAUUCCGAGUGUAGAGGUGAAAUUCGUAGAUAUUCGGAAGAACACCAGUGGCGAAGGCGGCUCACUGGACUGGUAUUGACGCUGAUGUGCGAAAGCGUGGGGAGCAAACAGG